AGUGAAAUGUGACCUGCGGCUUUGAGGUCUCUCCCAGAAUUAAUAAUCUCCAGGUGUAUUCAGAACCAUUAAUUGCCUCUGAAAGGAGCAACAGGAGGUUUCCCCAGAAUCCUGUCAAGUGAAGGAGGGACACUGAGCCCGUGUUUGCUGCUUCACUGAGUUCCUGUGGCCGAGGAGUACUAGACACUCUCCUAGAGCAUUUCCUCAAUAUCCAUAACUGAACAUGUGGGCUGUGUGCCGAGCAGAAGGGAAGGAUGCCUGACGUCUCGUCCGUGCAGACACGGCAGGUGUGAACUGGGCUCUGACGGUCCUAAGAAAUCUGGCUCAGAGGGAAAGAAAUGAAGACAUGAGGAAACCCAAAUAAGUCUCCUAGUUUUCACAUCCAAUAAAGUAAUGGAUUUGGUUUUGAGGAGUUAAAAAAAAAUCACAUCUAUGGAACUCAAAGGAACUGUAAGUCCGUUAAAGCUGAAAUUCCAUGGAAUGAUUCCUGAAGUUUCUGGAAGGCUAUACACGUCUCUUAACAAUUUUUUUUUCACUUCCUCUGACUAAAACCAUGGCCUUUCUACCUAUUAAAGAAGAAACAAAACAACAACGUCAAACCAUGUUGUCUUAUUUUCAGAAGAAUUGGCUCAAAAUGAUUCUAGAAAGUCCUCCCUUGACAAUGAUAAUGACCUCAGAAAUACGGAGAAAAAGAACCAAGCAAUACCACACUCUCCAACAGG